rnacentral:rRNA from 1 species
CAAUAGCGUAUAUUAAAGUUGUUGCAGUUAAAAAGCUCGUAGUUGGAUUUCUGGUGGGAGCGAUCGGUCUGGCGCUUAGCGCGAGUACUUGCAUCGUCUCCGGCCAUCCUUGGGGAGAGUCUGUCUGGCAUUAAGUUGUCGGGCAGAGGAUCCUCAUCGUUUACUGUGAAAAAAUUAGAGUGUUCAAAGCAGGCUUAUGCCGUUGAAUAUAUUAGCAUGGAAUAAUAAGAUAGGACUUUGGUACUAUUUUGUUGGUUUGCGCACCAAAGUAAUGAUUAAUAGGGACAGUUGGGGGUAUUCGUAUUCCGUUGUCAGAGGUGAAAUUCUUGGAUUUACGGAAGACGAACUACUGCGAAAGCAUUUACCAAGGAUGUUUUCAUUAG